rnacentral:rRNA from 1 species
CUACGGAGGGUGCAAGCGUUAUUCGGAAUCACUGGGCGUAAAGGACGCGUAGGCGGGUUGGCAAGUCAGAUGUGAAAUCCUACAGCUUACCUGUAGAACUGCAUUUGAAACUGCUAACCUAGAGUAUGGGAGGGGGAGAUGGAAUUAGUGGUGUAGGGGUAAAAUCCGUAGAUAUCACUAGGAAUACCGAAAGCGAAGGCGAUCUCCUGGAACAUAACUGACGCUAAGGCGUGAAAGCGUGGGGAGCAAACAGGAUUAGAUACCCUAGUAGUCC